rnacentral:rRNA from 1 species
AGAGUUUGAUCAUGGCUCAGAUUGAACGCUGGCGGCAGGCUUAACACAUGCAGGUCGAGCGGUAGCACAGGGGAGCUUGCUCCCUGGGUGACGAGCGGCGGACGGGUGAGUAAUGUCUGGGAAACUGCCUGAUGGAGGGGGAUAACUACUGGAAACGGUAGCUAAUACCGCAUAACGUCGCAAGACCAAAGAGGGGGACCUUCGGGCCUCUUGCCAUCAGAUGUGCCCAGAUGGGAUUAGCUAGUAGGUGGGGUAAUGGCUCACCUAGGCGACGAUCCCUAGCUGGUCUGAGAGGAUGACCAGCCACACUGGAACUGAGACACGGUCCAGACUCCUACGGGAGGCAGCAGUGGGGAAUAUUGCACAAUGGGCGCAAGCCUGAUGCAGCCAUGCCGCGUGUGUGAAGAAGGCCUUCGGGUUGUAAAGCACUUUCAGCGAGGAGGAAGGUGGUGAGCUUAAUACGCUCAUCAAUUGACGUUACUCGCAGAAGAAGCACCGGCUAACUCCGUGCCAGCAGCCGCGGUAAUACGGAGGGUGCAAGCGUUAAUCGGAAUUACUGGGCGUAAAGCGCACGCAGGCGGUUUGUUAAGUCAGAUGUGAAAUCCCCGGGCUCAACCUGGGAACUGCAUUUGAAACUGGCAAGCUAGAGUCUCGUAGAGGGGGGUAGAAUUCCAGGUGUAGCGGUGAAAUGCGUAGAGAUCUGGAGGAAUACCGGUGGCGAAGGCG